CCUGUCCUCGUGCCUCUGCCAGCUGUGUCCUCGCGCUCAUCAUCCAUCAGUCCGACAGAGCAGCCAAGGCUCACGGGAAACAGCUGGAUCCAUUAUCUGGGUUUGUUCUGGUCUUGGUCUCAGUUCGGCCUCAUCACUGAACUCCCGCCCUGUACCUGGACGGUGACGGAGGAGGUCUGAACGCCAGGCAGCGCGUGAAGCAGCGCGUGAGGCAGCGACGAGUCUACUCAUCAUCAUCACCAUCAUCAUCAUCAUCAUCAUCA